rnacentral:rRNA from 1 species
GACGUAGGGCGCGAGCGUUGUCCGGAUUUAUUGGGCGUAAAGAGCUCGUAGGCGGCUUGUCGCGUCGUCCGUGAAAACCUGCGGCUCAACUGCAGGCUGGCGGUCGAUACGGGCAGGCUGGAGUUCGGUAGGGGAGACUGGAAUUCCCGGUGUAGCGGUGAAAUGCGCAGAUAUCGGGAGGAACACCAAUGGCGAAGGCAGCUCGCUGGGACGUUACUGACGCUGAGACGCGAAAGCGUGGGGAGCAAACAGG